AUUGAACGCUGGCGGCAGGCCUAACACAUGCAAGUCGAACGAGUGGCGGACGGGUGAGUAAUGUCUGGGAAACUGCCUGAUGGAGGGGGAUAACUACUGGAAACGGUAGCUAAUACCGCAUACCAUCAGAUGUGCCCAGAUGGGAUUAGCUUGUUGGUGGGGUAACGGCUCACCAAGGCGACGAUCCCUAGCUGGUCUGAGAGGAUGACCAGCCACACUGGAACUGAGAAACGGUCCAGAAUCCUACGGUAGGCAGCCGUGGGGAAUAUUGCAAAAGGGGCGAAAGCCUAAUGCAGCCAUGCGGCUUGGAUGAGGAAGGCCUUCGGGUUGUAAGGUACUUUCAGCGGGGAGGCGUGACCCGCAGAAGAAGCACCGGCUAACUCCGUGCCAGCAGCCGCGGUAAUAC
rnacentral:rRNA from 1 species